GUAUACUUUUUAAUCUUGCAGAAUUGCAGGCCCAAAGACCCUCAGGGUGAUGGGACACUAGUGAAGAAAGUCCACCAGGUGACGAUGUCCCAGCCGAAGCGUAAUUUUAAUGCGAUCCGUUCUCCAAAAGACAUAACAUCUGAAAGUUCCAUAUCCAGCAGGUUGCUUUUCUGUUGCUGGUUUCCCUGGAUGCUCCGUGCUGAGAUGCAGUCCUAAAUCCGCUGGUUACAUCUUUAAUUCUAUCUCCCCCUCUUUUUCUGUUCCUCCUCAAGAUAAAUCUCACCCACUCGGUGUAUUUCCAUUAUUCGUAUGUGCUUCUCUUUGUGAACUACCCAGACUGCUGUCCCGCCCCUUUGACAGUAACUCAAUAGCAAAAAAAUAGUGCCUUGUCAAGUAACUAACAACCUGCAUUCCGAUGAUUGAAUUAUAUACAAACAAUCUUUUAUGAAAUCAAAAUAAGGGAAAAUCAUUCCUACUUAAAAGCCAUUCAUAUCUCUCUUUUUUUUUUUUUUUGCUAAACCACUGUGGGUAGAUUAAUGGCAGUAUUCAAGCUAGAUAAUUCAGUCAUAAUCCACAAGCAAAUAGGCUUGUGCAUAAA